UGAAGAAAAAGUGUGGGAUUUCAAGGAAUCAAGCAAUCAAAGGCUUAGAAUAGACUGUAAAUAGCUGAUCCUAUCGAGGACUACCGUUGGGUUUGCAUUCUUCAAACUAUAGUUACGUACAGGGAAAAUGAGAAGCUGAUAUUAAAGCCUUG